AACGAACGCUGGCGGCAGGCCUAACACAUGCAAGUCGAGCGCCCUUUCGGGGGAGCGGCGGACGGGUGAGUAACGCGUGGGAAUAUGCCCUUCUCUACGGAAUAGCCUCGGGAAACUGAGAGUAAUACCGUAUACGCCCUGUGGGGGAAAGAUUUAUCGGGGAAGGAUUAGCCCGCGUUGGAUUAGGUAGUUGGUGGGGUAAUGGCCUACCAAGCCGACGAUCCAUAGCUGGUUUGAGAGGAUGAUCAGCCACACUGGGACUGAGACACGGCCCAGACUCCUAGGGGGGGCAGAAGGGGGGAAUCUUAGAAAAGGGGGGAAACCCUGACCUAGCCAGGCCGGGGGGGUUAUGAAGGCCUUAGGGUGGAAAAGCUCUUUCAGCUGGGAAGAUAAUGACGGAACCAGCAAAAGAAGCCCCGGCUAACCCCGU
rnacentral:rRNA from 1 species